rnacentral:lncRNA from 10 species
GCCCAACCUCAUCUGUGUGAGUCAAGACUCUCCUGAGAGCUGCCUUUAUUUUGAGCAGCUCUGUUCCUAAUGGCAACCUGGGAGGCUGGCUUUCCAGCCUGUUUUCAAGCAGUGCUCAGCAAAGCCACAUCACCGCAAGGACUCAGCAAGAAGAUGGCCAUCUAUGAACCAGGAAGCGGACCCUCACCAGACAGAAAAUCUGCCAGCACCUUGAUCUUGGACUUCCAGCCUCCAGAAUCAUAAGAAAUAAAUUUCUCUUGUUUAUAAUUCUCUAUGGUAUUGUUGGUAUAGCAAUGUGAACUAAGACAUAAGUUGAGAUCUGAGUGAUAAGAAGUAGCAAAUCAUGUUAGUUAGGAGGACAGAGUGCAUUGAGCAGAGGCCUCAACUAACAUGAAGUACCAAAAGUAGAACGAAGUUUAAAAAGUCCCAGUGGGGCUAGGAAGAAGGCCAGUGGGCCUAGAGUGGGGCGGGUGAGGGCAGAAGGCAAGGAGGUAUGUGUGGAGAAGUGGCUGACCCUGGUUUACAUAGCUCGGUC